CGUGGCCCUCUUGUACCGGUUCAGAUCACCGUUCACCUUGAAUCGAAGGGCCAGAUCGGGGUUUGAUAUGAAGAGCCUCCCGUAGGACACCAGAUCGGCGUCCCCCUGUGUCACCGCUUCCAUCCCCAUCUCCCGCGUAAACCCGCCGCUACAUAUAAAGGUCCCCUCGUAUCCGUCCCUCCACGCCCGCAUCAGACGGCUCUCCUCGUCCACGCUCCCCUGGCGCCCGGAUUCGGUCUGGCCGUACGCGGUGUACCGCG
rnacentral:lncRNA from 1 species